UUAUUAGGUUGUCCUUGUCAUUACAACAAGUACAUAAUACAUUCUUAUAACAUUGUUAAUAUUGAUAGUUGAACAAGGCUUUCUGCCGAAGCUUAAUAACUCUUGUCAAUAAUGUGUUGUGUGAUUGCUCACACAACGGUGCACAGGUGUUGGUAAUGGAUAGAGAAGGAGAGUCCGAAGACUACAAUUUCACUAAUGAUCCUUCCGCAGGUUCACCUACGGAAA
rnacentral:misc_RNA from 1 species